AGAGUUUGAUUCUGGCUCAGGAUGAACGCUGGCGGCGUGCUUAACACAUGCAAGUCGAACGGACCUGUACUGAAACCUAGUGAUUUACAGGUUAGUGGCGGACGGGUGAGUAACGCGUGGAAAACCUGCCGUAUACUGGGGGAUAACACUUAGAAAUAGGUGCUAAUACCGCAUAAGCGCACAGACCCGCAUGGGACAGUGUGAAAAACAAAAAGUUAAAGCUUUUUAUGGUAUACGAUGGUUCCGCGUCUGAUUAGCUUGUUGGCGGGGUAACGGCCCACCAAGGCGACGAUCAGUAGCCGGCCUGAGAGGGUGAACGGCCACAUUGGGACUGAGACACGGCCCAGACUCCUACGGGAGGCAGCACUGGGGAAUAUUGCACAAUGGGGGAAACCCUGAUGCAGCGACGCCGCGUGAGUGAAGAAGUAUCUCGGUACGUAAAGCUCUAUCAGCAGGGAAGAAAAAAAGUCUUUGGCUUUGGACGGUACCUGACUAAGAAGCCCCGGCUAACUACGUGCCAACAGCCGCGGUAAUACGUAAGGGGCAAGCGUUAUCCGGAUUUACUGGGUGUAAAGGGAGC
rnacentral:rRNA from 1 species